AAGAACAUUCAGUAUUAAUGGAUUCCAAACUCCGUGUGAUAACCAGCCGGUCCUGGACCAGUUUAUCAUCGCAGUGUGGACUGAUUCUCUUUUGCAGGAAGUUAGUUUUGACUUCACCAGCUGGAUUGGAGGGCACCUGUGGCAUACCUUGUCCUAUUGCUGUGGGGGACUUCGUCCAGCUUUUAGACAUGCAAGACUAAAUGUGAAUACCAUCUAUACCACAGCCUCAAGCCCUGGCCGUCACAGCAAGUUCCUGAUUCUCCUGCUGUGAAGCUGCUGUGAGAGUGAAAAGGCUGUGGGGCAUCUCCAGG
rnacentral:lncRNA from 1 species